rnacentral:rRNA from 1 species
GGAGGGUGCGAGCGUUGUCCGGAAUCACUGGGCGUAAAGGGCGCGUAGGCGGCACAGUAAGUAGGUGGUGAAAUCUCACGGCUCAACCGUGAAACGGCCUCCUAAACUGCUGAGCUCGAGCACGGUAGAGGCAGAUGGAAUUCCCGGUGUAGCGGUGGAAUGCGUAGAUAUCGGGAAGAACACCAGUGGCGAAGGCGGUCUGCUGGGCCGUUGCUGACGCUGAGGCGCGACAGCGUGGGGGGGAGCAAACAGGAUUAGAUACCCUGGUAGUCCACGCCGUAAACGAUGGGUACUAGGCGUCGGGGGGGAGCGACCCCUUCGGUGCCGUCGCUAACGCAGUAAGUACCCCCGCCUGGGGAGUACGGCCGCAAGGCUG